AGUGCCAAGGAGAUGCAUUUUGGGGAGAGCAUCUUCCAGCUUAAAUGCUGAAAUACUGCAAUAGAAUUAUGGGCUGCUGAGAGUGUGUUUGACAGUGGUGCAAGGUCAGGGUGGACAUCAGAGGCUAUAACUGUGAUUCAGAGCUUCACCUUCUCGAGCAGAAGUGGCUCACAUUUUUGCAAUGAGAGCUGCUCUCUGCUUGCCGAUUUCAAAUGAAAUGUGCAAAAGAUGGUCCAGAAUGUUGAUUUCAUGCUAACUUUAAUGGUUAUUACUGAACUCCACUGCUGUGAAAUCAGGGUAGACCGAGGCUGGGCUUCUUAAGUCAGUGAAAGGAAAUCUGAAAAUCUGGAGAGAGGAUCUGAGAUAGAAUAUGGAAAACACAAGGAAGAUGGCUUUUAAGUUUGCAGAUGACACUAAACAACAAGUAGAGCUCUGGACAGCAACAAGCCUUUCUCUCCAAGAAACAUCUGCUCAAUGAAGAAGUAUGGCCUAAUUUAUCCAGAUUCUUCCUCCUGUAAUCUGAAUGCCAGUGAUGGUCUUCCAGAGAAGUACUACACUACCUGCUAGACUUACCCUUUCUAAACUUUCGGAAUUUGUAAAGUGCUCCUUUUUAUGUGUUUCCUGCAAGUGCCACAUUAAAUGACCAUGGGAUUCUUGGAAAAGCAGCAGGAAAUGAUAUAAUGGUGCCCGCAAGUUCUGUAUAUUGACUUUUCCACAGACUUGCUGGUCUUUGAGAGUAAGAGUUGCUGGUAAAACCAAGAUAUUUGAUCUUAUUCUCUUUUUCUUGAUUCUUGUUUAUGUGCUUGAAGCCCUGACCUUUUGCUCCUUUAUUAAGGGAAAAGAGAGAGCGAUUUCUGUAGCCGUAUUAUGGUAUGCAGAAGAAAAGACUUGGUUUAGCUGAGGAGGUGAAUGAGACCAGAGUGUUCCGUCACGAUUGAGAAUGAAGAAAAAUGACAGUACUCAAAACGGAUUCAUGCCUCUUGCCUGGAAUGAAACGUGGUCUUCUGAAACUGUGACACCUGGUAGGAAUCAGAAAAGAAUUUGUCUACUUCAGGUGUGCAAGAGGAAAAGAACACUUGAUAUUGGAUGCAUCGACCCCUUUUCAAGAAUCUUUUCCAGUGUAUGUAAACAAUGAAUUAACCUGAAAAAGCAGUUUUCAGAAAAAUGCUCUGGCAGUCAAUAUGUCAGAGUGUUGUUCCCAAUGUAAGUUUCAUUUACCUUCCUCAAAAUCUUAUAUGAAAGUGACAAAAAAUGUGGUCUGCAUACCAGGUUUGUUUUAUGUUCUGGCAUGUACAGUAUUAUUAUUCAUCAUUACGAGAAUAAAGACAGACAGUAGAGUCAUGUUACACAUUUCUAGGAAAUGUGGUAUAUGUACCAGUCAUCUGAAUCAGACACCUCUUUUAGUUUCAAAAACAUCUCGUUUAUUAUGAGAGCAUCACCUUUCCACAGAGGAUGCUGCUUUUGUAAAUGGAUGAGUUUGUUCUAGGUAAGAGGGCAUGGGAUUACUGGAGAAAAUUUUAUGGGAAAACUUUGUUGCAUUGCUGCCUUUUCUGCUGCUCCAAACUGGGAAAUUAGUAAAUGGUGGUAAUAUUCUCAAGGUCUUUAUGGCUGGAAUUUUUGGUGUCCUGCUAGAGCAUUUUAAAGGUCUUAGAACACACCGGAAAAAAAAAUAAUAAAAAUAGUAAUUGUUAAAAACAAACAAGCAAACAAAAAAACUUCAAUAAGGUUUUGAAUCAGAGCUUAAAUGAGAGCCUAAAUGUCUACUCACUCAGCCUUACUUAUCUCUAUAGCCAUCUACAGAUAUUGAACAUUUUAAUAGGGCAUUGAAUAUUUAUGCUUCACUGAAGUAGUGCUUAAAAAGCUUACUAAGGAGUUCAGCAGAAAGGGUGAAGUAAAAACAUUCUAAAUGUUUAAAAUAUUAAAAGUAAAGGAAAAUAAACAAGAGAAAGAGAUUCACCCCAUAUAUCUCAGUGAGGAAACAAGAAGGAUAUAUAAUAAAUAAAAUACAUUAACUGAAAUAAAUGUAUCGUGUAUGUUACAUUGGCUAUCUUUUUAUUCAUAGUUUACUGUUCACCAUUUCUUAUUAAAGAAUCUGAAGAAUAUAUAUAUUUUUUUGGUUUUAAAUGCUGAUUUGGAUUUCACGUAGGGAUUUAAUUGUUUCUGGACUUUCACAUUUUCUGUGAUUUUAGUAUUCCUCGUCGUGCCUGAGCUUCCCAGUGCCAUCUCUUGCUCUUGUUGUGCAACUAGAUCUGGAGUGCACAACUGGAUCUGGAGUAAUUUAUGAGCUAGAAAUGUCUUGUCACAGGUGUACUACAAGAAAAAAAAAAAGGGGGGGGGGAGCAGGAAGAAUAAUAUCAGUAAAGUUUGUAUGAAUCAGGAUGAUUGCUAUUUGAAUAGACUGUACAUCUACAGUGUCCAUUGUACCGAUUACUAGUUCAGAGACUGUAGUUGUCAUAGUAUUCUAGUUAAAUGGCCAAGGAAAAUGUUUUAAGUAUUCCAAGCAAAAUUGUGAUAACGGAAAUAAUAUGUCAGAAUAUGUCUUAAUAAACUAUCCACCUGUUUGUUUUUUUGUUUGUUUGUUUAGCUGAAAAAAUCUGUUCAAUCUGUUGUUUUUUCCCAAGAGCUAAUCUAAAUAUUAGUAGGGGAUAAAACACUUCUACAAAGGGAAACCAUCGUCUCUGGUAACAAGCAAUUUACAAGGAAGCAACUUCACCACAUGGUGGAGCUUUCUGCUCUCUUCGCAAGAAAAACGUGCUGAUUGCCAGAAUCCUCCAGCAGAGAAUGAGGCUCAUUUCUUAUAGCACUUGACUUGUACCACAUUGAAGGGAAAGGCUCAGGACCAGCAGCAGAUGCAGGAGCAUUACUUAAUAAAUUGCUAAUCUGUCCUCAUUAACAAUGAAGUCCUUCCAGAGUGGAUAUUAAGACAAAGAGCUUUUGGCAUUUGUGCAGACUUAAGGGAACAUCUGUGUCUGUGAUGGCAGAAGAUUCAUUGUGUGAUAAUGGAAAUGAAACCUCAAAGGAAAAUCCUUUUGCUGAUAAAAAAACAGAAAUGGGCCACAAGACCACUUCCAAUGAGCACGUUGGUGGCUGAAAGCUGGAUUUCAUUUGCUCUGCAUCCUUGGUCUAAAGAAAGAAAGUUUGUGCUGGCUAAAGGAGUUUGGGACUGAAUAAGGAAAUGAGAAUACAACCUGAAGCGGCAAAUUGGGUACAUUUCCAAGAGAGGAAGGAGGGAGGGACUAUCCAGAGGUUUUAAGGUAAUAUUCAACAAGAGAGGCACAAACUGUGAAAGAACUAGUGCAAGUGGAUUUUGUGGGCCUUAAAAAUUCUUGGGUACUUACACCAUUCUUUUGACAUACCUCCGUACAACUGUUUAAAGGGAUGAGCCUACCCAACUCGAUGUAUCCUCCUUGGUUCAUUUCCUCCACCUCUCCUGCAGUUGCAGUAGGUAUUAUGCUGCUGAAUGGCAGCUGAAUCAAAGAACUGAGCUGCUAAAACCUACUCUGGGAUGGGAUAGCCGAAAGUACUGUGAAGAAGUGCUGAAUUCAGAUGAUCACGUAACUGCAGGCUGAUGGACCUGGCUUUUCUGAGUAAUUGUGUUGUUGGGAUAUCCUGGAAAACAAGUGGAACAAGCUUGUGUCUUUGCAGACAAUACUUUUAAUAGCUGUGCUUGGGAUUUUUCCUUGGACAAAAGAUGAUAAUUUGCUGAUGAGAUGACUGUAGUGUAUCUGAAGUGUCUUCCUAUGCCAUACAAUAGUAGAAUAAAUAACAUUCCUUAUGCAGUAAAUUAAGUAGAUCUGGAUUUUGUGUUCCCAUUUUUCAUGAAUUGUGAUCUCAGAGAGGUCAAAAGGAAGUUCAGAGGCUUGUCUGUUGGGGCACAGAAGUCCUUGCUUUGCUGGAAAAAAAUGCUGACUACACUGUUUCAAUUCUCCUUAGAUAAGAACUUCAUCCCAUGCAUUUCAAAACAUUGCAAAACUAAAGUUGUGUUUUUAGUGAGUAUUAGAAAUGGUGCAGAACUGUGUUCUAAUGUUUGGAGGACAAUGAAAACCAACUUGAAACAACCAUUCUGUUUUUCAAAACAUUGACAGCUCUUCAUGACCUCAUCCUGAGCCAAAAUGAGACUUUCUAAUGGACAAAUAAGUUCCCCAAAGACUAUUAGAAGCAAUUGUGCAAAGGUUUUAAUCUCAUCCAAAAAAUAUAUAUAUAUAAAAAAAAUGGGGGGGGGGAGGAGGGAGGGGGAUUCUGAUUACUUGGUUACUUUUUGUCAUUGUGAAAUUCCUUGAUCUUCUUUUCCUCUUUUUUUUUUUUUUUUUUUUUUUCCUAAAAUGUGAGAAUUCUCUCUCUCUCUCUCCCCUCUCUCUUUUCUCUUUUAAUGUUAUAAAAUUGUCUUCUGCAUUUUCAGUGACUCCUAGGUCUGGCUUGCAAUGACUCACGUAAGCCUGGAAAAUAAUUUAGUUACAGUGCUUUCAGAAAGGUCUCUGGUGAAAUGAGUAUGUCUGUAGGAUGCACAUCAUACUGCUGGAUAGACAAAGCUGCACAAAACACAGAUUCCCUUGUAGAAGUAGUAGCUACAGCCUAUUGCAAUUGAAAAGUAAGUUUAUCUAGGUGUCCAGUUACUUUCUUGCUGCUUGAAAGUAGAAAGCUGCAAGUUAGAGGGAGUGUCACACAUGUCAGGGCAGUGCUGCAGGCCUUGUACUUUGGUUGCAUUGGCUGUAAAAGCUGGUGGGACAUGGUCUGCCCCACCAUGGGUGCUUGGCUCUGCUUGUGGCUCCCUUUGUCUUUUGCCACUGUCUUAGCAUUAGGCUUUAAAAUGCUUGUGUAAGCAUUACCCUGAUUUUGCUCUUGACAGUUUUCUGAAUUUGAUGUAUUCUGUUGUGGAUUGUACUGUCACAGAAAUGUAUAUUUUAAUAGUCAUGGUAAUCAUCUAAUGAAUAAAAAUAGACCUAUUAUGGUGAUGUAAGAUCAGUUAACUACAUAAGGAGCUUUUUAAAUGAAAGAUUUUUUAUGUGGGACGUGAAUUCAUGAGAAAAUUGAACUGCGAUGGGAGUAUUCCCCUUGAUCCAAGUCUGAUAAAUGUCAGUAAGAGUUAUGAGCACGCAGAAAUUGAAGAGUGAAACCUUCUGUAUGAAAUUAAGCUGUCCAAACAAACUCAUGGGAAGACGGUGAUUUAACAGAGUCCAGCAGAUGAAUUUUACUCUCAGUUCAUGAAGGCAAUGGCUUUGACAACAUUACCCAGGAAAUCCCAUAUCUGCUUUUUUAUCCAGCUGUGCAUCUCUAAUAUCCUUGGGGCCUGAACAGGUGAACUGAGAUUAUAAUUUGAGAAUGGAACGUAUUUCUUUGAAAUCCAACUGGCUUGUCUUCUGAUCAUAGUUCUUCUAGCUCUAAAAGUAAAUGUUCUCAAACUAAGAGGAGUUUGUGCUUUCCCACAAACCUGAAUGUGGAACAGCAUCAUUACCUAUCACUGUUUUCUACAGAGUUGAAUAUUUUUAGCAUUACUGAUAAUUAGCUCUCUUAAAGGUGCAAAAGUUUCCUUCUUCGGUGUUUCCAAAUAAUUUUUUCCCCAUCUGUUUUAUAUACUUCAGCAUCUUGGAGGGAUGGUACUUUUUUCUUUUUUUUCUUUUUUUUUUCUUUUCCAGGCAUCGCUGAAAACAUCAGUCUUUUCUGAACUUUCACCUUAGAAAUGGAAUGUCCCCUUCCCAUGUAAGAACAUUUUAGAAAGGUCCAAGUUUAACUGCAAUGCUGAAAGAAAGGGGAGAUUUAAACUGAAUCUCCACAGGAAUGGGCAAGCAUGGGGAGGACAGCCUGCUGUUUGCUUCGAUUUUUCUAUGUGCAGAGUCCACCCACUGGUGUUGUUUUUUUUCCCUAGCUGAGUAUUUGAAAAUGCAACAUGACCCUAUGCAUCAAAUGUGAGACUUUUACGCUCAGAAAGAUGCCACUACACGUUUUGCAGUAAAAGGUUAACGUCCUGUUUUACAUCCACUUAAUGACAAUUGAAAUCAAAUCUAUAACUAUUGUAGUAUUCAUUCACAGUAAAACAACCCCCGUACAUUUCUGGAUUCAAUAGAGCGUAUUGAAGCAGGCUGCUGUGUUGUUCUGGCUGCUAAACUGCUUGUGGAGUUCAACAGCCAACCCUGAACCCUGUCUGUGAUCUGAGUGAAUCCUAGAGUUCUUUAGAGAGGCUGUUGUAAGGGUCAUGGGAAGUGGAGGAUGCCUCCAACUUCAGGGAUAAGCUCUUGAAGCCAGUUUACUGUUUUCUCUUAAAAAGCACUCUGCAUCCUCCUGUCAGAUGAGCUCUGAAUUCAUGAGUCUCUGGCUGCUCGUUGUGCUUUUAGUGUUUGGUAGUAACUUCAGAUUGCAGUUUGUGAUGCCAGCGCUGGCAGUAUUAGAGCCAUAUAAAUGUCAGGUUUAAAUUGUCCCCUUGUUUUAAUACUUUGGGCUUUCUUCUAUCAAAGGGAAAGGAAAUUAAUAUAUUCCCUGUUGAUGUGUUAAGAUAUACAAGCUAAUUAAAUCUAUGUAAAUCAUUAAUGUUAGCAGUUUUAAUGUCUUUGGUAGUGCUGUAUCACCAUCGCAUGAUAGGACACUGCUUUAUCUGUGAAAUGUAGCAAUCCCUGGGAACUGCCAUUGAUGUGAAGUUUUAAUCUCCAGUGUGGUUUCUUCAACUAAAAACUGGUGUAUCUGGAAGCCAAGCAAGAGGUGGGAAAUAGGAGCUGUAAUACAGAGGGAGAAGUGGACAGGUUUUUCUCCUGUUGUUUUUGGAGGUCUAGAUCGUGUUCUCUGAGGGAUUUGGGAUGUUAGUGUUAAAACCUAUUUUUCGUGGGGGAGGAAAUUUUCCUUAGUAAGACCUCUAUCAGUAACACGAGUUCAAUGUUUCUACAUGUUUGUCACAUUACUCAGGGCUCUUUCUCAGAUUAUUCUGCUUCUGUUGGAGUUUGUGGUGCAGACAAACCACAAAAUGAAGAACUAAAGCUGGAUAUCCUGGCCGUUAGGACCAGCACAGCAGCAAGGUAUCUUACUGUAAAGAUGCCACCAGGAGUCAGCUGGAAAGUGGUGAUAAGUCUUUUAAUGGAGACAUGAUUCUGGGCUGAAACAUGUUCCUUUUGGCUGCGUGCUUUCACUUGAUGGAUGGUCUGACGCACAGAGAGGAUGUUAGGGCACGUCUGUCCUAUGUACUUAAAGCCAAACAACAAAGCCAUUCCAAGGAUGGUGAAUUUAGGUAAGGCACAGGUAGCUUGAUAUGUCGGAGAUCUAACAACCUUUGUUUUACAGAAUUCACUAUGAAAAAAAUAAACUACAGCAUAGAAAACUUAGAAUUAUUAUGCUCCAUCCUUCUGGGGAAGUUGAAUACUGGAGCAUACACCCUUUAGUCUCUAUUGCGGCUGAAGGAGGUGUGUACAGAAGAUGCUUAGAAUUUGAUUGGGAUGAGUGAGUUGAGUUCAGAGAAAAAUCUACAGAGUAAAUAGAACAUGGCUAAGUGGUUUCCACCAAUGUUUUUACUCUGUUUAGAUGCCAUGCACAUGUGACAAAAGGAGAAAUUAAAGGGGUGGUGCAGAAUACAGGUGCCUGAUUUCACUGAGCUCUGGGUGGGGCAUUUCUGGAGCUAUUCUGAGGCUCUUCUCCUUUGUGCUAAUGGAAAUCCCUGAUUUCUGGGAGGCUUCAAACAAGAUACACCUGGAGCUCUGGACUUCACAAGCCUCACUACUUAUGGUCUGAGAGAUACUUGCAUGGUAAUGAGGCUUGUGACUUCUUAGUCCCUUAAUUAUUUAGCUAAAUAAGUAUAGUACAAUGGACUGAACCACAAUAAUGGAAAAGUAGGAUUUCUCAGCUAGUGGCAGUAUUUUUGAUUAGCUCAGGGCAAAGGGGAAAAGCAGUCUGUGCGCUUCUCUACAGGAAAUGUAGCAGAGAGAACUUAAUGUUCUUUCUUGUCAGAGGCUGCAAAUAAAAGUUAACUACAACAGACCAUUGAUUUAUGCAACUGAAACCUUUGCCACAUUGUGCACAGAGCUAUUACAGAAAGAAAUACCAAGUUAGGAACAAGAGAAAACUCUCUGUAAACUCAUCCCUUUCCUCGCAAGGUUCUGAGCAACAAAUUAUGUCAAUAGAAUCUAAUAACAAGAGUGGUUUUUUUUGGCCUGUUUUGCUCUGUUUUAAUAAUGUGACCUAAAAUACCUGCAACUUUUAUGAUGGAGAAAGGCCCUGGCAAUUCACUUGAUGAUGUGACAAGUUGCUGGUCCCAACAAAACUUGGAGCAGUCUAUUCUGUCCUGACGAUCCAAUACCAGUACCAUGGAGAGGUGGUGUUGGAGCUGUCUAUAGGAACUUCAGGAAGUUUAUGCCCACAAUGGCUGUUAAUGAAGUAUAUUACUGUGAAUAAUACAUAAUCAUCAUAUGAUAGACACAGAGUACCUCAAAAUUUGUGAUAAAUUGCAUGAUAUUCCUGUGAAAUGAAGAAAUACUCUGUAUUUAUUGUUAGGAAGUGAGGCAUAAAAAUGCAAGACCUUGCCCCAAGACUUCAAUAAAAUGAGAGAAAGAUAAGUAGUUAUUUAAUACAGGUCCUUAAGCUGCCACCACUAAUCCAUUUGCUGACUUUUAAAGUGAGUUUGUGUUAGCUGUGCAUUUAGUAUCUAGGAAAUUAAUUUUGUAAUAAAAUUAGUUAAGUAGUAGUGCUGAAGAAAUGGGAAAUGAACAUCAGAUGGCAAUAUUUUCCUGUGUUAAACUCUAGGAAUAAUUAUUAAUAUCUAUAAUCUGAGAAGAUGCUUAAAGUAAAUGGUGAAAAAGUUACAGUACUUAAUGGAAUUGAAAAGUAAUUAAGAUACUACAAUUUUUGAGAAAGAGUGAACUGCUGGGUAACAUGUACUUGUCUGAAUGGCAGGUAUUUUGAUGCCUCCAAAAGAGAGGUCAUACAUCGGGGGCCAGUGAGUACAGGUCAUGCUCUGAGGUGGGGCUGGGACCCAGGAGAUCAGCAGCUCUUGUGUUGUGCCAGGGCUGUCCCCUGGGAAAGGGCCUGCUAGUCCUGUGGGAAAAUGCAUUCACACUUGUCUGUUAGCAAAGACCUAAAAUGCAAACAAUUCUUGCUUUACAUGGGCACGAAUGGUCUCUCAGACACAUGAAGCAAUGAUGACAGUCAUUCCAGUGCGGUCAUUGCAAACAGUCACCCAGCGUGAUCCAGCCUGGUUUGGUGGGGUGGCACUUUGAGGGAUCACCUCAUCCAUGAAAAAGUGAUGCUUUAAGGACUGCAGCUGGCCCACCCUUGGAUUCUGUUCCCUACCCAGCUCCUAGGAAUUUCACUUGACAGCACCCUGGCUGCUGUGUGCUGCCGCUUUAAGGCAUGCACAGCACUGCCAGGCUUCAGGUCCUGCCACUGCAGGAGCACCAGGCGCAGGCAGCAAUCCUCUGAUCAGGGCUCGGCACUCUCUCGCUGCUCUUUACUUAAUAACGUUUGCCUGCUUAGCAGACAGCUGCCCGGUGAGCUGAAGGCUUUCUUCUAGCGUGGCAGAGUUUCACCUGGUGCUGGCAGCAGCUCCCACCAUGGCAGCAGCUCCAGGUGCUGCUGCAGUAAAAACUGCAAAGUCCUGCAAAAAGUACCAGACAGUGAAGCGGCAUGCCAGCAUCUACACCUACCAGGAGCCACCCCACAGGUAAGGCAUCCUGCUCUCUUCUGAAGUGCAAAUAUUCCUUAUUGGGCAGAAAUGUGGGGUCUUGUCUUUUGCCUUUCAUUUCGUCAGAGUGUAGUAAUGUUAAAAGGAGUAUGAGAAAAAACACUCCUCUCUCUAUUUUUAGAUGUACUUUAAACCUCUUUUCUUCUCUUUUUCUUCUCAUAAAAGUAAUGUUUCAUACUGCAUCAUAAACAUCUUCAGCAUAACUCCAGUGAAUUCAGGGCAUAUCAGGGUAAUAAAUCUCUCUAUACUUUUCCUGUGUAUUAUAAUUUCCCUUGAAUAUCCACUGUGACCAAAGGUCAGAGUGGGGACUGUGGAUCAAUGGACCAGCAAUCUGACUGAGUAUAUCCUUUGGAUGCUGUUAGAAGAAAAGGUUUAGGUUGAUUUAUUUCAAAGUGAUUCAAAAGUGUUCAGUUCUGUUCAUAUCAUGCAAGGGGAAAUUGUAGCAACAGGUUUUUAGCUGUGAGUCCCUGCAAGAGUGAAUAUUGCUGGUGUCACUUACAGUAGCCUGUUUAAAAUGAGAUGAGAGAGCUGUAGCUUAG